rnacentral:rRNA from 1 species
GUGUCAGCAGCCGCGGUAAUACGUAGGGGGCGAACGUUGCUCGGAAUUACUGGGCGUAAAGGGGGCGUAGGCGGCCCGGCAAGUCAAGUGUGAAAUCCGGCGGCUCAACCGCUGGGCUGCGCUUGAAACUGCCGGGCUUGAGUGCAGCAGAGGGAGACGGAAUUGCCGGUGUAGGGGUGAAAUCCGUAGAUAUCGGCAAGAACGCCGGUGGGGAAGCCGGUCUCCUGGGCUGUUACUGACGCUGAGGCCCGAAAGCUGGGGGAGCGAACCGGAUUAGAUACCCGGGUAGUCCCAGCCGUAAACGAUGCUCACUAGGUGUGGGGGAGAUAAAUCCUCCGUGCUGAAGCUAACGCGCUAAGUGAGCCGCCUGGGGAGUAUGCCCGCAAGGGUGAAACUCAAAGGAAUUGGCGGGG